rnacentral:lncRNA from 1 species
UUUCAAUAUAUCGCUUUAAACCAAUCUCACUCAUGAAUAGAAAUGUGAAACUCCUAAAAAUAUAUAUUAGGAAACGGAACUUAAUGAAAAAUUUAAAGACCCAGGCAUUACUACCAGCUAGGAUUUUUUCCUAAGAUAACUUUCUAUGAGAAAUACUAAGAGACUACUUGCAUUUAGUACUAUAUAUAAACUGACCGCUAAUAAAUGCCAGACAUCUCUGAGCUACAGUUGCUCUCUUGAUAUCUCAGAUUUUGAAAUCUGGAUGUGCUCCCAAAUCUUCUCUUCCCCUAAAGUUCCCUCCUACUAGUAAAUGGCAGCUUCUU